ensembl:lncRNA
UUUGGUUCUUUGCUUCAUGGUUGAAUGUCUCCAAGUACACCUACAGGUCCUGAAGGAAAACAAGGAGAAAGUAGUGAUGGAAUCAUUAGGAAGGAAAGGUGAAGAAAAAAACUGGCGUCGCGGUCUGUUCUACAAUUCAACAAGAUCAGAGAAGAGAUACACUUGUUAUUAAAUCGUUCAAAGACCAGCUACAGUCCAACAGUGUCUCUUAGAGGUGUGUCCUUUGAAAUAAUUUUAGCUUUUUGCCUCUGGAUUUCUUUCAUCUCCGGAAUUCAGUAUACCCUAGAGUGUCUACAGAGCAACUCUCAAAGUCCAAACAAAAUUACAAGUAUACUGCCGCUGGGGAAAAAUCUAGAAUCUUUUAUUUUAUAUGAUACAAAGAAAACCGAUUGUUUAUACAGCUACAGCCUUGAAAAGUAAAAAGAAGAGAAUUUAUAAUGAACUAAGCAACCGUUGAAGCUCUGCAUCCAAAAGCUGAUGAGACGCUUGAAGAAUGGCCCGUGGUCCAGCUCGGAGGAUGCGGGGACUCGGAAGACGGAGAGGUAGUGGGACCCGGUGGCUCAGGUGCUUCGGGGAUCCUUCUUCCCCUCGGGAGUCUCCCCACUCCCGCCCUCCCGAAAUCCUGGACUCAGGGAGGGGGAGGCUGUGCGUUUCUGCCACAGGUGAGACCUACCCAGCCUGGAGAUCAGAGCUGGCACCUGUCCAGUUGCUGGGGCAGCCCCGGCUUUUAACGUAGUGUUUCUAGUCAAUAAUCCAAGCUGACUUUUCCCAGUUUGCGCUUGAAGGGCUGGAGAACCUGGCGCAAGCGAAAGCAAACAGGAACACUCGCAUCGCCUCCCCUCCUCCCGCGACCCUGGCAGAGAGAGAGAGACGAGAAGUCAUUUACUGUAGCGCACACACACCAUCAGGACUCUUUCCCACUCCAUCUUCCGACUCCCGCCACCUUGCACGGAAAUCGCAGCUCUGGCUUUCUCGAUCUGCUUUCCGGAUGAGUGAAUUUCUUUGCUCCUCUCUCCUGUCGGGGACCAUCUGAAACUGCCCCCAAGUUGCGUUCCCAGGGACCCUCCCCACUCCGUUUUCACUCGAGAACCAAAGAGCAGCUCACUUCGGCAUCCUCCAGAAGACAAACCCCAUCCAUUCAUUCAUCUGUGGGUGAACAAGAAGGAAAAGAAGAAGCAGAGGUGGGCCACCAGGCGAAGCGGGAGCGAGAGGAGGACAGUGCUGGGUAAACCAAACCGGGAAAAGAAUAACGGGUGAGGGCGAGGAGGACCGCCUCGCCCCUCCUCGGCGCGGGGUGGACCCCUGCGGGCGCCCACGGCGAGCCACGUGGAGAAGCCCCAAGGGAGGGGCAACCCCCGCGCGCCCCCCCCCAAGGGUUUUGGAAAAGAAACUGCUGCGGACAAAGAACCCUGAAGGACAGAGAGAGGUGGAGGGAGGUGAGAACCCUCGUCCUUCCUCCUUGCCCCCCUCCUUUUGGACAUUCCUUAGGUUUAAUCAUUAAAGUGGAUCCUUUUUGAAAAGGAGGCAGCAGCUGAACAGUGCCGUUUCUGAGAGUCUGCCGCACACUGUCAGUGAAGUGAAAGAUCUGGACCGAGCUUGGUUGCCUCGCUACCAAUAGCAGACUUGGGGAGACCAAGCCUCCGAUUUCUGGCCACAUCAAAGCAGUGAUUAUGCAAAUACCCCCUUUUUUUUUUAAGAAUAAAAUGGAGGGGGAAUUAUUUAUCAAACAAUGAACCCCCUGCCAGGGCGGGAAACAAUAGAUCAGACUAGAUAGCCCUUCUAGCCCCAGGCUAGGGGAGAGGGAAGGGGGGGAUGCUGGCGCCCUCACGUUUUAUUGGUCUAACCUAAUUUCACUAAUUCUCUUUUCACACAUUUUCUUUGGCGGAUUCGGAGGCCAGGACUUUCACGCUCCCGGGAGCGCCCUGCAUUGGCGCGAUUCAAGGGCUGCCUGCUUUAUUUAAUUAAUACAUUCAAAGCUCGCCUGGGCCCGGAGAGCCUGAGGGUGGGGAAAGACCGAGGCCGGACGUGAGGAGGAGGCGCUUUUAACGGGUUCGAGGUGUCGAUGCCCAGAAGUCACAACAGGCCCAAGGCUGUGCGGUGCAGGGGGCGCACGCGGUGGGCGGCAGCGAAUCGCAACUUCCAGUCUCUCCGGCAAACCCGACCUUGCCGCAGCCGGGAGCCCAGGCGACCCAGACCGGAGGGUGGGCGCGGCAGAAGCGGGCCUUGGGCCUAGAUAUCCUCUGCGGGUAACGGGACCCUUGCUGCUUCCCGGCCAAGGCCGUCCGGGGCCUUCCGACGCCCUCACCUCCACUGGGCCCUUGGGGCUCUCUUCCUGAAACGGCGCCCACCCGGCUCCUGCCCAGGGGCGCCCGGGUACUCCUCUGGCUCCCGCUUCGCCUGGCGGACCUCUGUUUCUUCUUUUCCUCCUUGUUCGCCCACAGAUGAAUGUAUUUUAAAUCUGGUGAAGGAAAACCAAUCUUAAGUCCUGGGCACUUCAGAACAAGUAAAUACAAUCAAUGCCUGAAGCCUGACGGCGCCAAAGCGACGAUCCAUCCGGGGCAGGACCAACCCUCACACUUCUCCGCGCUUAGGGGAGAGAAGAGGACGGCUGGGCCUCAACCCACAGGCUGUGGAGCUUGCGGUGGGUUGGGAAGGAAAACUCCUAGUGCGAAGUGAGGCAGAAAGAACGUUCUUAAUCGCUAAAAGUGAUCAGACGCCAUAAAGAAUAAUUGCACCUAUUAAAAUAGGGCUUCCCUGGUGGCUCAGUGGUAAAGAAUCCUCCUGCAAUGCAGGAGACCCGGGUUCGAUCCCUGGCUUGGGAAGAUCCCCUGGAGAAGGGAAUGGCAACCCACUCCAGCACUCUUCCUUGGAGAAUCGCAUAGAUGGAGGAGCCUGGUGGGGGACAGUCCAUGGGGUCGCACAGAGUCGGACACGACUGAAGUGACUAAGUGACAGCAGCAGCGUAAAAUAAGGUGUGUUGUAGAUAGAGAAGGAAAAGCCUGAGUGUAGAUCACAGGUGGUAGACGGAAUUCCUACCAUAUAUGAGGUGCUUCUCAUGUGUAAGAGGACCUGCAAACUCUGGCUGAACGAGACUCUGGCCCUGGAGUAGCUGUGCAGAGGGGACGGCUAGAUUCAACUGGGUCGCAGGUUAAGUCAUUAGCUGUAUUACCAUUAAUCAAACCAAAUCAAUUGAACCCUCUCUCAAUCCAUGCCUCUCCAAAUAAGCCAUUAGGGUCACCACCUAGUUAUAGGAUUCCCAUCCCCCCUUCCCCCUCCAGUUGAGUUUUCCUGAGUACCUGCACCUGAAGAGUUGCCUCCCCAGACCUGUGUCAGGAACCUGUUUCCUGGCAAGUUUCCAAAAGAAGUCUGUUCUCACAACCAUCAUCAUCACUAAAAGAACAGUGAUUUGGCAUUAAAACUGUGAUGUUUUAGAAUUCGAAUACUACAAUUGCUUGGCUUUUUAAACACUAGAAACAUAAAAGUGUAGGAGAAAUAUCUCUUUCCCCUUAUUAGAUAAUCAAGAGUGGUUACGAAUAAUAAAAUCUUUAAACUAGAAGGGGUUUUCCAACAAGUCUCUCUUACAUCCAGAGAUGAAAACCAAACAAAUCCUGGGUUGGUUCUUCCUUUUAUUAGAAAUAGCUAUUCAGUUAUUAAACACAAUAUUUCUACAUGAACAGAGAGGAGGAGUAGUUAGGACAUUUUAGAAUGAUCAUUGGUUUAUGCAGAGUAGUGGAGGAUUUGUUUAAACCGGAAGCAGAUAUGAAAUUCAUGAGGGUGGGGGGAACUAUGAACAACCAACAUUUCUUUGCUGGCUUUUUUUUUUUU